GCGGCAGGUUGCCCCCGCCGUCGCCACUUAGACCGGGGACGGGGAGAGGGGGUACGUCCCGGGCGUCGACGGUGACCGUCGAGGGAGAGCGAGCCUAAGUCAUCGCCUCCGACACCGCCGCCGCCUUGAACCGAGCCCGACUCCGCCCGUCCGUCCACUCCGUCGUCCCCUCCGCCCACCCUCCUCCUGGAAAGGUCGGAAGACUUCGGGAGCAGGAGAUUGAAAUAAAGAUCAAUAAGUUGGAGGAGUUGGAGUGGAGAUUAAUUAGUAGGUGGGGCAAAAAAACAUUCUCAAGAGGGUGUUUUGAAGGUUUUACCGCCGGCUAACUUUGUCAAGUACAUAGAUCUGUUGGCAGAAGCAUGGGGAUGGGGAAUUCUGGUGCCAUAUGAUCAUAGCGUUGAGUUGCCUGACUAUUGCAGCUACCUUGAGCACUAUUACAAGGAAAAUUGCAAUGCUAUUACUGAAGUUACUGGCAGCAACUUGGUUGAUGUGGCUGAAACUUGUCUCAAGAAGGAGAAUGAACUUGUGUCUUUGUGGGGUAGUAAAUCGAAAGAAUGGACGGAUGGUUUCUUACCCAGAAAAAUUUAUAUUCUGAGUAGCCUGAUCCAGGAGUUUGCAGGCAAAGUCAAACGAACAGGAGAGGGAAUUUCUGUUGCUUCCACUGCAGCUUUGUUGUGUAUCACCAAGGAGGCUAACCUGAUCUGUGAGAUGCUGAAUUAUGGUGCCAGUCCCACGGAUUACUUAAUCAUCCAGAGCACUGAGAUCCGCAUGUGCGCUUUAAGUCUUAUGAGCCACCAAUAUGGAGUUCCUGCCGCUGCUGCUAUGGUGGGAAUCAUGAAGGAAACCGAUAAAAUAUGUGACUGGUUGAGCAAAAACAAAGAGCCUUUUGAUCCUUGUGACAUUGACUUGGAUAAUGAUUUUGAGUUGGGUCGCCAUGUUCGGGUCAGAACCCUGCACUUAAUGAUCAGCAUACUGGCAGAGUCCCCCUUUUUCUGUUCCUGCUGCUGCUGGGCACAAACUUGUUGAGGAAAAAUCUUUUAGUGGAAAUGUUCCUAGAAAUGAUGGGAAUGAUAUU